AUGGCUUUGCGCUUUGGACUCAACUUAGCAACAAUAGUUGGAUGCAAUCACAUAGAGGUGAAUUCUGAUAACAUCGAGGUGAUUGAGACAAUGAAGAAUGGUUGACGUUCCUUGGGAAUCGCGGCUGCAAUAUUUUAUAAUAGUUAUCACUUAGCUUGUGAUUUUUUCCAUGUUAUUUUUGAGCAUACCCCUAGAGAGGCAAAUUGUGUGGCCCAUGAUCUAGCUAAUUUAGCUAGGAGCACAGUCUGUGCUGGGUGGAUGGAAGAACCACCGAAGGAAAUUUUAAAUGUUCUUAUAAAUGAUGCCACUAUGAUCACCAUGCAACAAAGAGUAUUUCAUGUCAAAAAAGGGAGAGAUUCGGUAACCCGCCGGCUCCACAUGCAGUUUAGGGUGAUCUUAGGCUCCACAUGCAGUCUAGGGUUACUUCUUUUUAUUCUUUUCUUUUCUUUUUUUUUCUUUUUUCCUUUUCCAUUUUUGUUUUUUCUUGGCCCCUUUCCCUUUUCUUUUUGA
rnacentral:rRNA from 1 species